UCCGGUUUAACACCGGCAGUCUCGCUAGGGUACCCAACUUAAUGAUGGUAACUAACGAUAAGGGUUGCGCUCGUUAUUGGACUUAACCAGACAUCUUACGACACGAGCUGACGACAGCCAUGCAGCACCUAUCACCAGGUCCCCGAAGGGACACAUACAUCUCUGCAUGCUUCCUGGGAUGUUAAGGGUAGGUAAGGUUCUGCGCGUUGCUUCGAAUUAAACCACAUACUCCACCGCUUGUGCGGGUCCCCGUCAAUUUCUUUGAGUUUUAGCCUUGCGACCGUACUCCCCAGGCGGGAUACUUAACGCGUUAGCUUUAGUACUCAGGGGGUUAAUUCCCUAAACACCUA
rnacentral:misc_RNA from 1 species